UACGUAGGGGGCAAGCGUUGUCCGGAAUUAUUGGGCGUAAAGCGCGCGCAGGCGGUCAGUUAAGUUGGGUGUUUAAGCCCGGGCUCAACCCCGGUACGCAUCCAAAACUGGUUGACUUGAGUGUAGGAGAGGAAAGUGGAAUUCCACGUGUAGCGGUGAAAUGCGUAGAGAUCAGGCGGAACACCCGUGGCGAAGGCGGCCAGCUGGGC
rnacentral:rRNA from 1 species